rnacentral:lncRNA from 1 species
UGCAAAUUAAGGAAUAUGUGAAAUCAGUGGCCCUUUUGAUGAGAUAGGUACGUUUGGUAUUCUUCCUAAUACCAUCUUUUUGCGAUACAGAGAAAGGUACACAAAUGAUGGCUUGCAUCCUAUACUUUGGGUUAGAGUAUGCCCAAAGAUCAAUCAUGAGAUGGUUGUAAUAACAUACUUGAUUUAUCAUGUUUAUUAAUAUAAUGCGUUACCAUUACUAUUUCAGUUUAUUUUCUGUGUGUAUAAUUAAACCAUUUUAUAAUAAUGUCCUGAGAAUAAUAUGAUUAUUCUUAAAAGAUCCUUAGUCAAGUACUAUUGUUGGAUAGGACAACAAUAAUGCAUUAAGACUAACAUGCAGUUAAUUGAUGAUAAAGAGUUGUCAUUGAUAUGGAAUGUCAGAAUCGAUGCAUGAAUAUGUGUGUUAGAGAACAACAUAUUGGACUGACCCAUUAUGAGUAUGUUUCUUGGAUUAUUAUGUAAUUAUCACGACAUUACUCAUAGUGAUUAAUAUGUAUAUGAUCCUCAGACUUGAGAUCAUCAUAAUCCCAACAUCGUGAGUAGUAUAUCUUGAUACAGUCAAACGUACACCGUAACUGCUAUAAAGGCUGAUGUUGGAUAUACCACAAUCGAUGUAGAGGGGUAUGGUUGGUCGAUAUAGAAUAAGUCCCUCCUACAUAAUGGGAGUAAUAUCUUAGGCCACUUGAUUAAGUGAGACUAGAAAUGCAUGACCAUGCUCAAAUAAGUUGAUAUGAGAUGUCAUACUUAUUUGUAUAUCGUAGUCUACUUAAGAUAUCAAGGAACAUGGAAUGGACUAUGCAAGUGUGACUAUUCCAUGACUUGUGUCCAAUCCAGAGAUAAAGGACUUAAGGAUUAUUGCAUAAAAGGUUAAUCAUAAAAAGGUUAUGUCGAAUCAUGAUCUCUUGUGACUUAGGUAGCAAUGAUGCAUUGCUAGAUGCCACUCAUUGUUUGUAACAUUGGAAUCGUUCUAGUAUUACUGCUAACGUUACAGGAACCUACAGGGUCAUACCCUAUAGUUGAAAUGAACGGAAUAAGUCAUAGUUGGUAUUGUUUUUGGGGGUCGCUUGAAUUUAUUAAUUAUAGAAUUAAUUUAAUUCGGUAAUCAAAUUUCCAACACAUUAUGUACAAGGUUGUUGUAUGUAUAAUGAGGACAUGAAUUUGGUUAGCAUAUGAAUUCAAAUAAAUAUAUGGUUUACCGAAAUUAUAUUAUAAUUAAUGUAAUUAUAAUUUUCGGUUUAAAAUAUUAUUAUAUUUAUUUAAUUCCUAAAAACCCUAAAAAUAAAAGAUUUAUAAGGAUCCCGUUUUUCCUUUGCUUGGGUCUAGCAGCCAUCAAAGAAAAAUCACUUUCAAAAUUGUUUUGGGGAUUUCUUCUGUUCGUAGUCAACUGGGUGGAUUACGUAGAGGUCGGGAUCACGAUAGAUUGCGGCUUGGUUCGACAGCAGAUCAGACUACUCGUUGUUGAGGCGUUGCUGUCUACUCUGAAUAAACAUUAGGUAAUUUCACAACCUUUUCACCCCGAUUCGUUCUUCACACAUGGAUUCUUAGUUGGGAUCGCUGAAUUAUUAUUUUUCCGCCGCGCCAUAGGGGUGCCAGCGAUCCAACACUUUGUGCCUCAAAGUGGGAGUUAAUUGAAAGGUUCAUUUCUGCCUUAAUAGAAAAGGUACGUUACUUGUAGUCUAUCAUCUCUUUCAUAAUUCUAAAUGUUAAAACAUUAUAUGUAUCCUUGCAACCCAAAGACUUCUUAAUUCUUACAAAUUCAAACACCAAAUAAUCUUCUACCAUAAUUUACUUAUUAAUUAACUUAAACCCCAAUUAUUACCAAAAUCCAAACUAAUUGUUUAAUUAGAUUUUUUUUUUAAUAUCAAACAAAUGGUAAUAUAACGUACACCUCAUGUAGUAUUUCUGUAUAUACCCACAGUUGAGUGAAUUUCAUAUAUCAUAUAAAUAAAUAUAUGUUGAGAAAAUAUAUAAUUUGAAAAUCUAGGGUUGUAUUGUUAUAUCCAUGUAGAAGGAACUGAAUAUUAAUCAACGUUAAAUUUCCUUAGGAUAAACAAAUUAAAUAUUAUAAGAUGGAUGAAGUAAUAAUAAUGGACAAUAAAAAAAACAGGGUUUGUAAAUUUGGUGGAACAUCCAAAAUAGUGAAAAACUAGCUUAAAUGAUGACGAUGAUGAUGUAAAACCAUGAAGUAGCUAAGUUUCUCAGGUAUGUCAUUUGUCUUCUAGGAAGAAGCCCAAGGAAUAAAUGGAAUGUAACACUGGAUGGCACCAUCAAUGUUACAAGGCAUUGUUUGGUGAUGAUGAUCUUCGUCAUCUCCUUCAUACGGAAGCUUAUGAAAUGAAGGGCUUGCAAAAGUAAGCAACACAACCGUC